rnacentral:rRNA from 1 species
ACGUAUGUCGCAAGCGUUAUCCGGAUUUAUUGGGCGUAAAGCGCGUCUAGGCGGUUUAGUAAGUCUGAUGUGAAAAUGCGGGGCUCAACCCCGUAUUGCGUUGGAAACUGCUAAACUAGAGUACUGGAGAGGUAGGCGGAACUACAAGUGUAGAGGUGAAAUUCGUAGAUAUUUGUAGGAAUGCCGAUGGGGAAGCCAGCCUACUGGACAGAUACUGACGCUAAAGCGCGAAAGCGUGGGUAGCAAACAG